rnacentral:misc_RNA from 1 species
CGCACAUUGCGCCCCUUGGUAUUCCUCGGGGCACGCCUGUUCGAGCGUCAUUACACCCCUCCAGCCUCGCUGGGUGUUGAGCGCCGGCGCCUCCGCGCGCCCGCUCUAAUGUCGUCGGCUGCGUCGUUCGAUCGCUCCGCGUUGUGGUUUACAAACUCGCGACGGUGACCGAUGGCGCACGCCGGGCAACCACUUUUCCACCAGGUUGACCUCGGAUCAGGCGGGGAUACCCGCUGAACUUAA